rnacentral:rRNA from 1 species
AUUGAACGCUGGCGGCAGGCCUAAUACAUGCAAGUCGAACGGUAACAUGGAAGUAGCAAUACUUUUGAUGACGAGUGGCGGACGGGUGAGUAAUGUAUGAGCAACCUGCCUUUCAGAGGGGGACAACAGUUGGAAACGACUGCUAAUACCGCAUAAUGUAUUUGGGUGGCAUCACCUGGAUACCAAAGGAGCAAUCCGCUGAAAGAUGGGCUCAUAUCUGAUUAGCUUGUUGGCGGGGUAACGGCCCACCAAGGCGACGAUCAGUAGCCGGACUGAGAGGUUGAACGGCCACAUUGGGACUGAGAUACGGCCCAGACUCC